CUUCUUCUUAGCCUCGUCAGGGCACUCAUCCCCUUCCAGUUCGUGGCUGUGCGGAGCGGCGUCUCGCCAUGGAUGGCCUCCGGGCCUCGAGUUCUUCUUUGAGGAAGCAGAGUCAGGAUUGGUUCCUAAGGCUGAUGCGGGUGAUAUUUUGGGUGGCGGAAUCGAUGUUGUGGAGUCUGUGGUUGCUUCCAUUCAUGAAGGGCGCGAGCGCUCCUCUUAUGUGAUUUCUUCUGAGCCGAUGGACGGUGGCAGCGGUAAAUAGCAGUUCGGGGUGGUGGACGCGAAUCUCGGCUCAUACAUAAACGGUGGGAGUGAGAUCAUUGGUGACUCAAACGAUAUGGCGGCUCAAAAAACGUCCAUUGCAUCUAUGGAAGAGGAGGGAGAUGCAGAAGGGGUCGUCGUGAAGAAAUCAAAGGCCUCCUGUUGGACUCGACGGUAAGAAACACACACUCAUCUGUCGGUUACUUUGCUGCGAUGCCAGAGAUUGUACCUCCAUGAAAGCAUUUUUCUGUAAGACCAGAUAUUGAAUCUCCCUGUACUUGCCUGUAACGAGAAAAAACGCAUAUACAGAGUUCACCCCCAUGUAGAAACAAUUCCUUUUUGUCUACCUCUUAUAAGCAUUCUUGCUAGCUUAGAAUCAUAAUUUUUGUUGAUUCUUUAUCAAAA